rnacentral:lncRNA from 1 species
GUACUUCGGUUUACACUUGAUUUCUUUCUCUCUUUUUUGUUUCAAUCUGCCCUCCAAAAAAAAUCUUGAAAAUGGAUCCGUUUUUAUAUGCGAUCCCCCCAGAAAAAAACAAACCAUAUUUUCCUAUUAUCCUAUUGCCCUCCCAGCUGUUCGUGGCUUGUUGCAGGUACCACUAGCGAGAAGACGUGCGCAGCGUGCACAGAGGCUAUUGAACGUGGGCGGUUGCUGCGACGUGGGGCAUGCGGCGCCGGUUUGCUGCUAACCACUUAGGGUUUCUAUGUUUGGCUAAUUUGGGCUAGUGCUAUUGGGCCGAAUGGUAUUGGGUCAUUUGGAUUUGGGUUAUUUGUAAAAAUGGACUGUUUAUUGUAUUUAUUAUUUUUUU